rnacentral:lncRNA from 1 species
UGGGGAGUUCCCUGGCGGUCCCAGUGUUUAGGAAUUGGCAGUUUCAACUGUGGUGGCCCAGGUUUGACCGCUGGUCGGGGAACUAAGUCCCACAAGCCAUGCGGCACGGCCAAAAAAUAAAAUUAAUUAAAAUGGAGGUUGGUACAUGAGACAGGUGAUGGUGAGAUCCCUUUGACUGUUUUGGAGAACAAGCCUUACAUUUGUCCACAGGCUUAUCACCUUUUAGAGUUGCCGCCAUUUCAAAGAUCUAAGCUCCUCUGUAGCUCAACGAAUUGAGACGUGAUUUAGCCUCAUCAUUCAUUCUCUCCUGGGGCUGGGGCCCUUGUCCUCUAUUUCCAUUCCUAGGGUUCUUUCCCUUGAUCCAAUAAUGAUGUAUACAGCUUAAAAACAGUCCUGCUUAUAAGGAAGAAAAAAAAAAGUGGAAAUUUGCCAUGGAGUGGCUGUCCCAUAAUUGAAUUUCCAAACUCUGGGUGUGUGAGUAACUCACUACAACAAAUAUAUUUCUGAGCACUGGCACUGUUGUAGACACAGAAUAUGCUGGUGAACAAAACAUGCAAAGUAGUGGCCUUUUCACAGGAUGGAUUCAGGACAGAUGCUCCUCAGUAAAGCAUCAGAAAUAGAUUCUUCUUCAACUCGGAGUGCAGCUCUCUUCCACUUCUUGUGAAUUGCACGUCCUAUCAUGGCAGUCACGGCGUCUUUCCCAGUGAAAUCGUCCGUCUGGGUUCCCGAAUGGGCUGCCCAAGCCUGCCCUGAGGACCAGGUGCUGAACUCACCUUUCAGAGGUUGGCAUUCCAGGAAUCCCCGACAUAUGACGACAUGGCUAUGAAGUUCACGUGGGAGGAGUGGCAGCUCCUGGACCCCAAUCAGAAGGACCCGUACCCAGAUGUGAUGCUGGAGAACCAUAGCAACCUGGUAUCUUGUGGGGUGUCAAGCCUGCAGACCAGAUGCAUCCUCCAAGUUGGAACGAGGGGAAGAACCGUGGCCAAUAGAAGAUGAAAACCGCAGUUGAACCUGUUCAGCAUCUCUGCCUAUUUCUUCCACCUGCCUUGCUACAAGAUUCUACCUUCCUGCUCUUACUCCAAAGAUCUUUGAAGGGACCUUCCUUGUGGUGCAGUGGUUAAGAAUCCUCCUGCCAGUGCAGGGGACACGGGUUCGAGCCCUGGUCCAGGAAGAUCCCACAUGCCACAAAGCAACUAAGCCCGUGUGCCACAACUGCUGAGCCCACGGCCACAACUACUGACGCCCGUGCACCUAGAGCCCGUGCUCAGCAACAAGAGAAGGUACCACAAUGAAAGGCCUGUGCACCGCAAUGAAGAGUAGCCCCUGCUCGCCGCAACUAGAGAAAGCCUGCACACAGCAACGAAGACCCACUGCAGCCAAAAAUAAAUUAAUUAAUUUUUUUUAAAAAAAGAAAAGUGAUUUUUGAAUUCAGCAGUUUUCUAACUAGUGCAUCUUCCUGCUUCGUUGGGAAAUAGUGAUUUCCCUUCCUGACAUUUAACCCCACGUUAAAUGCUGUACCCACACCAUAACUUGAUCUCUGUGUGUUUAUAUGGUUUCUUAGCUUCUUGCUAUAGAUUAAGUGUUGGGGUCCCCCCAAUCAUGUGUUGAAACCCUAACCACAAGGUGAUGGUAUUAGGAGGUGGGCCCUUUGAGAGGUGAUUAGGUCAUGAGGACCCAGAGAGAGCUCUUGUCCCUUAUCCCAUAUGAGGUGGGGGCUAGAAGGCGCUGUCUAUGAGGAAGCAGGCCCUCACCAGGCACCAAAUCUACUAGCGUCUUGAUCAUGGACUUCUUAGCCUCUGGAACCAUGAGAAGUAAAUUUCUGUC